UUGAGUCACCAAGAGCCCAAGUUCUAUUUCCCCAAAGCAGGGCUGGGAGACACGAGAUUCUGCCCUGGACCUGAAAUGGGCCCCCGGCUCUUCUUCUAUGUGGCCCUUUGUCUCCUGGCAGCAGGCCACACGGAUGCUGGAAUCACCCAGAACCCAAGACACAAGAUCAUAGAGAUAGGAAAGAAGGUGACACUGAAGUGUCACCAGACUGACAACCACAACAAUAUGUACUGGUAUCGACAGGACCUGGGACAUGGGCUGAGGCUGAUCUAUUACUCAGUUGGUGCUGGUAACACUGACAAAGGAGAAGUCUCCGAAGGCUACAAUGUCUCUAGAUCAAACACAGAGGAUUUCCCUCUUGUACUGGAGUCUGCUACCCACUCCCAGACAUCUGUGUACUUCUGUGCCAGCAGUGACUACACAGUGCUGCACGGCUGCCUCCUCUCUGCACAGAAAGAGCAGUCAGAAAGUUUUAGGUUGCCUGUGUCUGGCCCCGCCCAGGGAUGUCCUGGCCUCCAUGGGAGUCCCAGAGCCUUUGCCAGGCUGGGGGCCUUUUUUUAG